rnacentral:pre_miRNA from 1 species
AGUGGAAUUUCUGCAUCAUAUGGUAACUCUGCUCAACUUUGUGAGGAAUUGCCAGACUCUUUUGCAAAGUGGCUGCACCAUUUUACAUUCCCACCAGUAAU